rnacentral:tRNA from 1 species
GGGCGGGUGCCUGAGCGGCAAAGGGAGCUGACUGUAGAUCAGCUGGCCGAACGGUCUUCAGAGGUUCGAGUCCUCUCCCGCCCA